rnacentral:rRNA from 1 species
CAAGAGAACUGGGCAUCCCGUCCGCUCUGCCAUACAUAACCUUGAGAUCGGUGGAUUAGUAGUUGGGUGGGUGACCACCAGCGAAUACCCACUGUUGUAUGUU